UUAGGGACUUCAGACCACGUGACUUCUUGGCCCAAAAGCGUGCAAAUCGACGCCUGCACAAAUCGUGUGAUGGUCAUAUGUCAAGUCGUGUAAAGAAAUGUGGAACCGUUUUUCGAAAUGAAGGAAGUCUUGUACAGUUGGAGAAAGUUUCGGUUCGUCUUGUUGGAGCUUGCCUUCGUUUGGGACCAGCAAGAAUGGAGCUGUUACGUUCAUUUUUGACGGAGAUACGUAUGCGGAUGGAAGGGAAAGCGCCGCCAUAGUCACAGUAUGGAAAGCAGCGAGAAGUAUCCUGCGCUAAGUGAUGCUGAUGUACAAAUUGAAUUGCUCUUGGCUGUUUCGGUCCAUGCCUCGAUUCUUGUCUCGAAUGCUGUUAUGCUCGAUCUGGUUGAGCUCCGCAAGAAUAGCUGAAAGAGUGCCGAACUGGGAGAUGUGCUGUAUACUCUUUUUGCUAUUUGCUGUGUCUCUGCUGAUGAUGAUGUGCGUGCUACGAUUACCCCAGCCAAUACAAUGUCCUGUACAUGUACAUGUUGAGCUUAGUCAGUGCCUCUUCCGUGAUCAUUCUUUUUCUUGACACCAACCACACCAACAGUCCGAAGCUAUCUCAGGACUGUAUUACCAAUGUCUCCUGUUACUACCCACUACAUUGUAAACCAUACUAUUCAGCUAUUUCAUGCGGAGAACCAAGAUUGUUUUGGAUCUGGUGUGCGGUUGCUAUGCGUUGCCAAGGAAAGUGGGUUCUCUCAGUUUGACAUAUCUCUCUGAUCUCAAAUGUGUGGGACGUUUGUCGGACAAAUCCGGUGAUAGGCGAUGACUAUUUUGCUUGUAACUUUAGUUUCCUUUGUCUGAUUUAGAAAAACUAAAGACCAAACUCCUCAGGAAGCUCUAACCUAUACAAAAAGCAAAACAUAAGCCACAGAAAACCGA